GGUACGGUGCGCCUGACCCACGGGUGCAAACUCGCGAGUGUCGGUGUGCGCCUGCCAUCUUGAGUAGUGAUACCAGCUGCACUUCACUGUGCGGUUGGAGUUUGUUACUACUUCGUUUACUUUGAAAAAAUUAGAGUGUUUAAAGCAAGCGUUGCGCGUUGAAUACAUUAGCAUGGAAUAAUAAUUUAGGACUUCGCUGUCACCUAUUUUAUUGGUUUCUAGGAGUGAAGUA
rnacentral:rRNA from 1 species